rnacentral:tRNA from 1 species
GCCUUUGUGGUGUAAUGGUCAGCACGCUCGGCGUGUAUUCGAGAAGUUCGGUGUUCGAGUCCCGGCGACAGCA